UACGUAGGGGGCAAGCGUUGUCCGGAUUUAUUGGGCGUAAAGAGCGUGUAGGCGGCCAUACAGGUCCGUUGUGAAAACUGGAGGCUUAACCUCCAGACGUCGAUGGAAACCGUAUGGCUAGAGUCCGGAAGAGGAGAGUGGAAUUCCUGGUGUAGCGGUGAAAUGCGCAGAUAUCAGGAAGAACACCCGUGGCGAAGGCGGCUCUCUGGGCCGAUACUGACGCUGAGGAGCGAAAGCGUGGGGAGCGAACAGG
rnacentral:rRNA from 1 species